rnacentral:sRNA from 1 species
CAGCUUCCCAGGGGGAGAGUGGGUGUGUACCUUGUGCCGCAGCCUGACCCAGCCCGAGAUGGAGUACGACUGUGAGAAUGCCCGCUAUAACCAGCCUGGAAUGCGGGCAUCUCCUGGCCUAAGCAUGUAUGACCAGAAGAAGUGUGAGAAGCUGGUAUUGUCCUUGUGCUGCAAUAACCUCAGCCUGCCCUUCCAUGAACCUGUCAGCCCCCUGGCCCGGCAUUAUUACCAGAUUAUCAAGAGGCCCAUGGACCUGUCAAUCAUCCGGAGGAAGCUGCAAAAGAAGGACCCAGCUCACUAUACCACCCCAGAGGAGGUGGUAUCAGAUGUGCGCCUCAUGUUCUGGAACUGUGCUAAGUUCAAUUAUCCUGACUCCGAGGUUGCAGAGGCUGGCCGCUGCCUGGAAGUGUUCUUUGAGGGCUGGUUGAAGGAGAUCUACCCGGAGAAACGGUUUGCCCAGCCAAGGCAGGAGGACUCAGACUCCGAGGAGGUGUCUAGUGAGAGUGGAUGUUCCACUCCCCAGGGCUUCCCGUGGCCUCCCUACAUGCAGGAGGGCAUCCAACCCAAGAGGCGGCGACGACAUAUGGUAAAGAGUUACUGCCAGCCAGCAGCAGGAGAAUGAAAGAGCAAAAAGAAUGUCAUUUCGCCUGGCCAACAGCAUCUCUCAGGUGUGAGAGCCAAAAGGAGACUGGGCACUCUGGCAGCUGUUGUCCCAUACUGUCGACCAUUCCUCCCCAUCUUGCAGCUUAUCCUCUUCAGAGUGUGGAUGGUAGAUGAGUCUUGUUGAACUGUGUAGUGCUCUUCUUUGCCAUUUGCAUCUACAGCAUUUAUUUGGGAGCCGUAGUACAUCCACU